rnacentral:lncRNA from 1 species
AACAGUGUGUGGAACGUUGGCGACCUCGGCGCUCGAGCUGCACUCCGCUGGGCUCUUGGCAGCACCCUGUGCUCUGAGGGUGUCUUGCCCGCCGGGCGCCGUGGCUCACGCCUGUAAUCCCAACACUUUGGGAGGCUGAGGCGGGCGGAUCACUUGAGGUCAAGAGUUCAAGACCAGCCUGGCCAACAUGGUGAAAGCCCAUCUCUACUAAAAAUACAAAAAUUAGCCAGAUUCUACUCUAAAAGUCACCAGGAAAAAUUCAGCUCCACUGGUCCUGGCUCUAAGUCUACUAGCAAAAUCUUCCAGAGAAGUGGAAAAGCCAUCAGCCAAUGUGUUAGACUAUCAUUUCCAUGACCUUACACCUAUCAAAAAGGCACUAUUACCAGGCUUAUAGAAUUCUAAAAAAGUUGGAAACCAUUUUCCAUUAUAAAAGAAAUUCUUCCAAAUCACACAAAACACUCUGACACUUCUCCAAUUCCCCCUAUCAUGGGGCUGGCAGCAGCCGCUUUGCGUCCUGAAUGUCAUGACAGUGAUGAUAACAGUAAUGAUGAUAACAGCAAUGAUGAAGUCUCACAUUUAAAAUUUUCAAGUCACUCAUCACAUCCCAAGUCACUCCCUUCAUUACCUUUUAUUUAUACUGGAGUCAUCCUGUGUGCCUCAGUCAGACCAUUUUGUAUGUACAAUGACCAUCUGAGGCACUGCCUAUAAAGUGGAAGAUAUAAUUAUAAUACUACAGACGUCAUUCCAGCUUUCCAGUUGCUUAUGGUCCAGCAGGGAGGAUGCACAUGGGAAAAAUAAUAACUAAUGACAAAUGUGAUGAGUCUUAACAAAGAAGAAGAGCAUAUUGCAAGGGAAUGUAAUUCACUCCAGGGACAAUGAGAUUUAACAUGCAGUUUGCAGAUCCUCCCUUCUCUGGGUCACCUGAAAAUAAGCCACAAACAAAGGAAUGAAAUUGUUGAUGAAAAGGGAAGAGGCAAGACUCCAUAUGAAGAAUACAACUGACUCACCUGUCUGUA